AGUGAACGCUGGCGGUAGGCCUAACACAUGCAAGUCGAACGGCAGCACAGUAAGAGCUUGCUCUUACGGGUGGCGAGUGGCGGACGGGUGAGGAAUACAUCGGAAUCUACUUUUUCGUGGGGGAUAACGUAGGGAAACUUACGCUAAUACCGCAUACGACCUACGGGUGAAAGCAGGGGAUCUUCGGACCUUGCGCGAUUGAAUGAGCCGAUGUCGGAUUAGCUAGUUGGCGGGGUAAAGGCCCACCAAGGCGACGAUCCGUAGCUGGUCUGAGAGGAUGAUCAGCCACACUGGAACUGAGACACGGUCCAGACUCCUACGGGAGGCAGCAGUGGGGAAUAUUGGACAAUGGGCGCAAGCCUGAUCCAGCCAUACCGCGUGGGUGAAGAAGGCCUUCGGGUUGUAAAGCCCUUUUGUUGGGAAAGAAAAGCAGCAGGUUAAUACCCCGCUGUUCCGACGGUACCAAAAGAAUAAGCACCGGCUAACUUCGUG
rnacentral:rRNA from 1 species